CACGUAGGGGGCAAGCGUUGUCCGGACUUAUUGGGCGUAAAGAGCUCGUAGGCUGUUCGAUAAGUCGGGUGUGCAACCUCCAGGCUCAACCUGGAGACGCCACCCGAUACUGUCAUGACUAGAGUCCGGUAGGGGAGCGUGGAAUUCCUGGUGUAGCGGUGAAAUGCGCAGAUAUCAGGAGGAACACCAGCGGCGAAGGCGGCGCUCUGGGCCGGUACUGACGCUGAGGAGCGAAAGCGUGGGUAGCAAACAGG
rnacentral:rRNA from 1 species